AGUGAACGCUGGCGGUAGGCCUAACGCAUGCAAGUCGAACGGCAGCACAGUAAGAGCUUGCUCUUACGGGUGGCGAGUGGCGGACGGGUGAGGAAUACAUCGGAAUCUACUUUUUCGUGGGGGAUAACGUAGGGAAACUUACGCUAAUACCGCAUACGACCUACGGGUGAAAGCAGGGGAUCUUCGGACCUUGCGCGAUUGAAUGAGCCGAUGUCGGAUUAGCUAGUUGGCGGGGUAAAGGCCCACCAAGGCGACGAUCCGUAGCUGGUCUGAGAGGAUGAUCAGCCACACUGGAACUGAGACACGGUCCAGACUCCUACGGGAGGCAGCAGUGGGGAAUAUUGGACAAUGGGCGCAAGCCUGAUCCAGCCAUACUGCGUGGGUGAAGAAGGCCUUCGGGUUGUAAAGCCCUUUUGUUGGGAAAGAAAAGCAGCAGGUUAAUACCCCGCUGUUCUGACGGUACCCAAAGAAUAAGCACCGGCUAACUUCGUG
rnacentral:rRNA from 1 species